CCGGCACCUGGCGAGGCGUCUCGCAGGGUCGGAGUCGACUCCCGACACUGCGGAGUCGACUCUCUCAGAGGCGGCAGAAAGGCCGAUUUCAAGGGAUGCGCGCGAGUCGUCUCCACAGGACGCGAAGUCAUCCCCGCGAGUAAAAAGCAGUCUUCCCGAGUCGUCCCCAGAGAGCGCGGAGUCGACUCUCUCAGGGUAUUCCAGAGGACAUGUUGUU
rnacentral:lncRNA from 1 species